UAACCUCCGCAGGCUGGCUGGCUCCCAGGCUGGGCUGGGUGAGUAUCUCUUCGAAAGGCUCACCCUCAACCACAACGAGGAGU
rnacentral:pre_miRNA from 1 species